AACGUCAGCUUCUGGGGCAAACCCUGGCCCCAGUGCCAGCCCAUCAACGGGAAGACCCUGGAGGUGGAGGAGAAGGAGCCAUGUCUCAAUAUGCCACCAUGCCCGGAGGAGGAGGAAUAUGAUCAGCCCCUGUUAUCGUCAGCCCACCUGGCCAGCUCAGACCUCCAGCCCACCGCAGAGUAUCCUGAUGAAGUUUGAGGUGGAUCUGGCAGGAGCCAGGCGAAGGUGCUUCCCCGGAAGACCCAUCCCCCCCCCCCUUCUGCGGGGAGGGGGGGGGUGGGGUCAGGAUCCCCACACCAGCAGCUCUUCCCCUCCUUCCAGGGGCUCCCUAUGGAAACGCCCCAGCAGCUCCCCUUUGCAUCCAUCACAAUAAAGAGAGAGAAUGGGCC